rnacentral:rRNA from 1 species
GGCGUCCGGGUGAGAUAACACGUGGGUAAUCUACCUUCGGGUGGGGAAUAACACCUCGAAAGAGGUGCUAAUACCUGCAUAAUGCAGCGGCAGCAGAUGCUGAAUAGUUGUUAAAGCGGAGGGAUCAAUCGACCUCGCGCCUGAAGAGGAGCCCGCGGCAGAUUAGUUAGUUGGUGAGGUAACGGCUCACCAAGACAGCGAUCUGUAGCUGGUCUGAGAGGACGGCCAGCCACACUGGCACUGACAUACGGGCCAGACUCCUACGGGAGGCAGCAGUGGGGAAUUUUGGGCAAUGGGCGAAAGCCUGACCCAGCAACGCCGCGUGAGGGAGGAAAUCCUUCGGGAUGUAAACCUCACAAGCAAGGGAAGAGCGCGAAAGGGAUAAUACCCCUUUCGCCCGACGGUACCUUGCGUAAGGCCACGGUUAACUACGUGCCAGCAGCCGCGG